rnacentral:lncRNA from 1 species
CAUUCUGGGUGCUUUUCAAGUUGAUCAAAAUGCCCAGCAUGAGGGCCUUCUCUUGGAGGGUGGAAGUCACCUCUGGGUCCAGGAUGUCCCGGACGCCUCAGAGGAAGUGAGGUUUGUUUCUAAGGAACACAAGAUUGCGUCUGGAGAUGGCACCAGUGUGCUUGGUAAGGGUUUGUGCAAGUCAGAGAGGAGUCUUGCGAACCUGGAAGCCUGAUGGCUUAGCUUGACACAUAGAACGUGGCAGGGCAGCCUGCUGGUCCUUGUUACUGCUCUGCACGUGAGAAUCGUAAGAUGAAGAGGAAGGCUUUAAACAGCCCCAAAGCAGUCUUCCAAGUGUUGUUAUGUCUGUUAAGUCCAGCAAUAGAGAAACGUAGGCUCUCAUGGGGCACACGUGUGUAAGGAACUUGAGUAGCUUUGGAUUUUUUGUAGUCAGGGGGAGUCCUGGAACCAAUCCCCUAUGGAAAUGCAGGGCUGGGCUGAUACGUUUUAUUCAAUUUGAAGCAUUCGAUGGUGAUGAAUAGAAAACGCAAACAGAGAAAAAAGGGAAGAAAGAAAGAAAGAGAAGUCCGUUCUUCCUAACGAAUUGUUUGAAAACACAGAGGCAGAUCAUGGUGUCCCAAGUUCUGGCUCUGACACCGGCUCCUAUGAGACUCCAGGCAAUUCAUUCCUCUUUGGGAAAUGCUUUCCUCAUCCAUGGAUUAAAGGUUCUAGGAUUAAAGUUAUCUCCUAGUCUGUCAUUUUUAUUGUAAAGAUCUCUUUUUUCCUGCUGCUCUCAGGUUUUCCCCAUGAAUUCAAAUAUCUUACAAGGGAAAUUUUCUCUGCGGGGUAUUCAUAGACUGAUGGUCUUGAUGAAUUUUCCAAGAGCUCUUCUGAUGAUGUUCUCUGAAUAAAAUUUAACUAGAAUUAGAAGUAGUUUGGACUUUAUUCUAAGACGAGUGAGAAGCCAUAAGAUAAGGCCAAGAAGGGGAGUGAUAGGAUGUGGUUUAUGUUUUCAGGUUAUCGCAGUGGCUGAUCUUUGGUGAUUAGAUUUUAAGGGUACAGCUCUCUGUGCACAGGGGAGGGUUCAGAGGCUCCUGCAGUGGUGUAGGCAGAGGCCGUAUUGGUGGUUUGGCCUACGGGGUUAAAGAGUAUGUCAUGCCAGCUAGCUUAUUUACCAGCUUUGGCAGUGCCAUGCUCUAUUAUUUCUAAAUCCUGCAAGUGGCUUUCCUACCUGGAUUGGGGUGACAGAUAAUUUUUUUAUGGGAUUAUAGGCAGUAGUGUGUAGGCGUUAACAUGAAUUCACAAAAAGUGUUAGCUUAGAAUUAUUGCUGAGUGACCUAUGACUAUGAGUGGAUGGAAUCAGAAAAUGUAUAGGCAUUGAGUAACGAUAGAUGCAGGAUUUCAGCUGGGAAAGGACUUUUAUCUUUCCAUCUCACCCACUGAGGUCACAAACAAAAAGGCUGCAGUGUAGAAGCCAGAAGCCAUCCCAGAUGAAGUGCUGGCUUGUUGGGUUCUUAGCCCUGAGGCUACUCAGAAGAUAAAGAGGCCUUCAUUUGGGGAUAGACUGUCUUCAGUCACGCAGACCCCACAUUAGCUGACUCAGCAUUGAAGGCAUGGAGCCAUUCAGCUCAUUUUACGUUGGACUGUAUCCAGGCAUUUCAGUGGGAAGAAGAAGACUCGAGGAAGGAAGAGGCCCUCCACCCAUGUAAAAGCGUAUCCUGGCACAAUGCCGUUGAUUGGAGAUUUCCAUCUGGGGAAACAUGUGAUUCUACAAGGUGACCGAUAUCAGAGUGAAGACAAGAGGUUAGCAUGAGAAAGUAACGCAGGAAACCCAGGAAGAAAGGCCCUGGGAAGUGAGGCAAAGAGCCUAGGCUUUGGAAUUUGAGCUGAGAUUAAAUUCCCCACUCUUUGCUCUGCUAGCUUCUAAUUUCAGGUUGUUGCCUGUUUUCAGAAGUUGAAUCCCCUUCUGCCAAGUGAGCUAAUUGGACCUUGUAUGGUUGAUGUAAACGUCAUGUGAGACCUGGAUAAGCUGUGUGUAAACUAUACAAAGCCACAGUUGGGUUACCACAGUAAGGCUUCUACUGAAUUGCAUCAGACUAUCAAUACUAUUUGUGGAAUUCACGUGGCUUGCUUGGUCACAACACGGCUAAGGGAAACGAAAGACACUGUGAGAAAAUACCUGUAGGUGUGGAAUUGCACAAUGUAUAAAUAUGGUGACUUUAUGUUUGCGUGCAUGAACUUGUUUGUACUGUAUCAGUGCUAUAUUUACGUCCAGACAUUCACUAUACUUUGAUGGAGUGGAAGCAGGUGUAAUAUUGGACAAGCGUUCAAAGCAAGGGCUUUGGAGUCAGAAAGACCAGUGUUUAUACUCCAGCUUGCAGCUGGAGUAGUGACAAAAUUACUUAAUUUGUAUGAAUUUUAGUUUCGUCGUUUGCAAAAUGUUAGGAAUACAUGCUUCAGGAUGUGGAUAUGAGAUUUAAGUAGGAUAAAGAAUAAGAAGCAUGUAGCAAGUAUGAGGAAAGUAGAAGACUCCAAUAAAUGCUAACUGCUGUCUUUGUUGUUGUUAACAAUAAAACCCCCUCCCUUCAUGCGUGUGGACGGGCGCCUAAGUGACAGUCCCUGGAACAGGACAGAUGAGCAGAGAUGAUGGGUGCGGAAGGAACAUCCGUUCCAGCGCGGGCACCUUCCUGGUCUGUGGAGGAAGUUUCCAGAACCAGAGUCAGGAUUUGAUUCUCUUUUACUUUUCUCUCUAGUUUCUAGAAAUGGAAGAAACUAAGGGGUUCUGGGAAUUAUGAGUGAGAGAAACAAAGGAAUAAAAUGCUGUCUGUAACCUCUGGCAAAAGGCAAGGAAGGUGAUGUACUGAUGCCAGUCAAAGAGGGAGAAAAGAAAUGACGCUUGGCAUAGUUGGGGCAGUUCGUGGGCCUGUCUUUAGGGUUAAAGAGUUGGGACACUCAGUAAAACCUAAUGGUGGCAAAAGUGGCUUUAACAUCAGACAGAGCUAGGUUCAAAGUCUAGUUCUGCCACAAACUCUGUGUACUUGGACAAAUUACUCUCUUCUCCGUAAAUACAAACUAGAAAUAAAAAACAACACACUUCUCAAAUUAAAUGAGGUAAUUCAGGUAAAACGUUUAGCAGCGUGAUGAUUUUUUGGCUGCUUUGAAUAGCUAAGAAUCAGAAGCUUCCUUUAGAAGCUAAGUUUCCUUUAGAAACUUGUUAUUCCUUAAAAUAAUGUUCUUAUUUUUCUGUUUGCCAUAGACCGAUAAAGAUGUUCAUUUCAAAAGUGAACCUCUAGGGAGUUCCCUUCGUGGCUCAGAGGUUAACAAAUCAGACUAAGAUCCACGAGGAUGUGGGUUCAACCUCUGUCUGGCUCAGUGGGUUAAGGACCCAGUGUUGCUGUGAGCUGUGUGUAAGUCACAGACAUGGCUCGAAUGAUGUGUGGCUGUGGCUGCAGUGGAGGCUGGCAGCUGUAGCUCUGAUUCGACCCCUAGCCUGAGAACUUCCAUAUGCUGUGGGUGUGGCCC